CACAUUAGGAACACGCACGUGCACACCUGGUUUUAUUUCGUUCGCGUGUAGCAGACAGCGGGUGUGCCUCUGGUGCGUCCUGCGCCUCAGCCCGGAUCUUCUUGUGUGUGCGUGUGCGCAAGGGCAACAAGAGGAAAGGACGACGUUAAACCGGAAGUAGCGGUCAAGGCGGAUCAUCAUUAUUAGCAGCACAGCGACGCACUCAACCACCGAGGAGAUACAGGGCGCCGCUACACCAUCAUCGUUUUAUGUCUAGAAACAACGCUGCGCAGCAACCGCGGCGUUGUCGACUGAGAGUACUGAAAGCAACAGGUGGGCCUGCGCCUCUCCUCCCGUCCCCCGACUGCUGCUUCCUCCCGUGAAGUGCAGGAAGAAAGGAAGGCGCUAGUGUCUGUUCGUGCAGCGCAGCCUCAAUCGAUCGGGAAAGUAGUGUAGAAUGACGACAGCAGCGGAACUCGGCACCGGAGGUGUAGACGUGACCGGAAAGCCGAUCUUUGUGGCGACUGAGCACACCCGCUACGCCCCUAGCACCGAACGCGAGCUCUCCGACCAGGAGCAACUAGCGUGGAAGUCGUUUCAGCUCUGGCGCACGUCGCUUUCCAUUGAGCGUCGUGACCACGUGUACCGGACCAUCACGAACGCUGACUACACCAACUUUAAUCUCACACGCCAUAUUAUGGGCACACCAUUUCCGGUGAUCGAAAACACCCCUUCUAUCAUUAACACGGCCGCCGGCGUGCGCAUGUACGAGCACGGCAUCGCUGCUUUCCUAGGGUUCAGCUACAGCAUGUGGGUGCGCUCCAAGGCGUCGCUGCGCCACACCCGCUUGCACCCGUCCACCCGCUUCUUCGUUUCCUUUGGCACCUUCAUCUUCGCCGACAUGUGCUUCUGGUACCGUAGCAUGUUUCGUCUCUCCGGUUUCCUGCCGAACGACUACGAGUGUAGAAAGUUUGGCGUGAUGGAGUCGAAGGAGCGGCUGGAGCGGAAAAAAGAGUUGUGGGCCAAAUACACCGCGUACAAGCGGGAGUGGUGCCGCCGCUUCGACUACCAUGUCUACGGCAUCCGCCCAGGCGAGACGUUCAGCCUCUUCUCUGCUUGCUGGUUCCCGGCGUGGUCUACGCCGUACGGUACCAUCACCGACUACCCGCUGCGCAAGAACCCGUACUUCCUUAGCGCCACCCCGUUGCGGGACAUGUACGGCGAGUAUGCCUGUACGAUGGAGCUACCGAAAUCGGAGUACUCACCGCUGUCGAAGGCAAGGCCGGAGGUUAACUACACAUUCCGUGGCCCGCUUGUUGCUUCGGAGAGCAACAAGUCCUCCGCCACGUGAGGAUUAGCGCGCAAACAAAAAUGGGCAGCAUCCGCAUUGUACGCGAAAGAGAACGGGAGAGGAGAGCGCCACAAUAGAGAAGGAAAGCGCUGCCGCUCUCCUACAGCACGGCCCACGGAGAGGCACAUGGAGGAGGUGAACCGGUGGCGCCUUGCGUGUUUACAGUUGAGUGCGGACUUCUGAUGUCUUGGUGUCUGCUUGGCGGAUUGGGAGCGGGACAUUGCCCUUUGCCGUCUCUUUCUUAUCCGCUUUUCAUUUAUUCAUGCGUGCGUGUUGUGUAUUGCUUUUAGGUAGACGAGGAAGGCGACAUGACUGGUUGUGGGCCCCUUUAUCCGCUCGCCUCUCAUGAGCUCUCAAACCCGCGCCUGGACUGCGAGGUGCACAAGCUGCGUAUGGGUGUGCUUGUACGUACGUGUCUGUUGCGCUCUUUUCACUAGAGUAUUCAUGUGUGAUGUGUAGCUGAUUAGUUUUUUUUUUCUUUUUUUUUGACGUUUAGGUGGUGCAGUCGAAGAUCGACACGCACCUUAUGCUUGUGGGUAAGCGCUCCGCCAGUGCAGUGACCCACACCAGCUCUGUCCGCUGCGAGGACGCAUCGCUUCUCUGCAUACGGGUCUCCGAGAAG
rnacentral:misc_RNA from 1 species